UACACACCGCCCGUCACACCAUGGGAGCGGGGAUGUACCAGAAGCAGCUAGCCUAACCGCAAGGAGGGCGGUUGCCACGGUGCGUUUCGUGACCGGGGUGAAGUCGUAACAAGGUACCC
rnacentral:rRNA from 1 species